rnacentral:rRNA from 1 species
CUCAGAACGAACGCUGGCGGCAGGCUUAACACAUGCAAGUCGAACGCCCCGCAAGGGGAGUGGCGCACGGGUGAGUAACGCGUGGGAAUCUGCCUGAUAGUAUGGGAUAACAAUCGGAAACAAUUGCUAAUACCAUAUACCCUCUACGGAGGAAAGAUUUAUCGCUAUCAGAUGAGCCCGCGUUAGAUUAGGUAGUUGGUGGGGUAAUGGCCUACCAAGCCCGCGAUCUAUAGCUGGUCUGAGAGGAUGAUCAGCCACACUGGGACUGAGACACGGCCCAGACUCCUACGGGAGGCAGCAGUGGGGAAUAUUGGACAAUGGGCGAAAGCCUGAUCCAGCAAUGCCGCGUGAGUGAUGAAGGCCUUAGGGUUGUAAAGCUCUUUCAGCAGGGAAGAUAAUGACGGUACCUGCAAAAGAAGCCCCGGCUAACUCCGUG